rfam:Schistosoma mattheei strain Denwood, Zambia genome assembly, scaffold: SMTD_scaffold0009697
AUCCAGCUGACGAGUCCCACAUAAGACGAAACACACGUCCUAGAU